GAUGAACGCUGGCGGCGUGCCUAAUACAUGCAAGUCGAGCGAACGGACGAGAAGCUUGCUUUUCUGAUGUUAGCGGCGGACGGGUGAGUAACACGUGGAUAACCUACCUAUAAGACUGGGAUAACUUCGGGAAACCGGAGCUAAUACCGGAUAAUAUUUUGAACCGCAUGGUUCAAAAGUGAAAUACGGUCUUGCUGUCACUUAUAGAUGGAUCCGCGCUGCAUUAGCUAGUUGGUAAGGUAACGGCUUACAAAGGCAACGAUGCAUAGCCGACCUGAGAGGGGGAUCGGCCACACUGGAACUGAGACACGGUACAGACUCCUACGGGAGGCAGCAGUAGGGAAUCUUCCGCAAUGGGCGAAAGCAUGACGGAGCAACGCCGCGUGAGUGAUGAAGGUCUUCGGAUCGUAAAACUCUGUUAUUAGGGAAGAACAUAUGUGUAAGUAACUGUGCACAUCUUGACGGUACCUAAUCAGAAAGCCACGGCUAACUACGUG
rnacentral:rRNA from 1 species